rnacentral:misc_RNA from 1 species
AAGUCGUAACAAGGUUUCCGUAGGUGAACCUGCGGAAGGAUCAUUAUUGUAGGGACUCCGGUCCCCUCAAGAUGCAACCCGUGCCUUUUUUGUAGCCCGUAACGUUUCCUCGGCAGCCCCGCUGCCAGCGAGGACCCCCCCAAAACCAAACCUGCAAUCUCAGUAAUAAAUUCAGAAACCCCCCAAAAUUUAAAACUUUCAACAAUGGAUCUCUUGGCUCUG